UUGAAGAGUUUGAUCAUGGCUCAGAUUGAACGCUGGCGGCAGGCCUAACACAUGCAAGUCGAGCGGUAGCACAGAGAGCUUGCUCUCGGGUGACGAGCGGCGGACGGGUGAGUAAUGUCUGGGAAACUGCCUGAUGGAGGGGGAUAACUACUGGAAACGGUAGCUAAUACCGCAUAAUGUCGCAAGACCAAAGUGGGGGACCUUCGGGCCUCAUGCCAUCAGAUGUGCCCAGAUGGGAUUAGCUAGUAGGUGGGGUAACGGCUCACCUAGGCGACGAUCCCUAGCUGGUCUGAGAGGAUGACCAGCCACACUGGAACUGAGACACGGUCCAGACUCCUACGGGAGGCAGCAGUGGGGAAUAUUGCACAAUGGGCGCAAGCCUGAUGCAGCCAUGCCGCGUGUGUGAAGAAGGCCUUCGGGUUGUAAAGCACUUUCAGCGGGGAGGAAGGCGAUAAGGUUAAUAACCUUGUCGAUUGACGUUACCCGCAGAAGAAGCACCGGCUAACUCCGUGCCAGCAGCCGCGGUAAUACGGAGGGUGCAAGCGUUAAUCGGAAUUACUGGGCGUAAAGCGCACGCAGGCGGUCUGUCAAGUCGGAUGUGAAAUCCCCGGGCUCAACCUGGGAACUGCAUUCGAAACUGGCAGGCUAGAGUCUUGUAGAGGGGGGUAGAAUUCCAGGUGUAGCGGUGAAAUGCGUAGAGAUCUGGAGGAAUACCGGUGGCGAAGGCGGCCCCCUGGACAAAGACUGACGCUCAGGUGCGAAAGCGUGGGGAGCAAACAGGAUUAGAUACCCUGGUAGUCCACGCCGUAAACGAUGUCGAUUUGGAGGUUGUGCCCUUGAGGCGUGGCUUCCGGAGCUAACGCGUUAAAUCGACCGCCUGGGGAGUACGGCCGCAAGGUUAAAACUCAAAUGAAUUGACGGGGGCCCGCACAAGCGGUGGAGCAUGUGGUUUAAUUCGAUGCAACGCGAAGAACCUUACCUGGUCUUGACAUCCACAGAACUUAGCAGAGAUGCUUUGGUGCCUUCGGGAACUGUGAGACAGGUGCUGCAUGGCUGUCGUCAGCUCGUGUUGUGAAAUGUUGGGUUAAGUCCCGCAACGAGCGCAACCCUUAUCCUUUGUUGCCAGCGGUUCGGCCGGGAACUCAAAGGAGACUGCCAGUGAUAAACUGGAGGAAGGUGGGGAUGACGUCAAGUCAUCAUGGCCCUUACGACCAGGGCUACACACGUGCUACAAUGGCAUAUACAAAGAGAAGCGACCUCGCGAGAGCAAGCGGACCUCAUAAAGUAUGUCGUAGUCCGGAUUGGAGUCUGCAACUCGACUCCAUGAAGUCGGAAUCGCUAGUAAUCGUAGAUCAGAAUGCUACGGUGAAUACGUUCCCGGGCCUUGUACACACCGCCCGUCACACCAUGGGAGUGGGUUGCAAAAGAAGUAGGUAGCUUAACCUUCGGGAGGGCGCUUACCACUUUGUGAUUCAUGACUGGGGUGAAGUCGUAACAAGGUAACCGUAGGGGAACCUGCGGUUGGAUCACCUCCUU
rnacentral:rRNA from 3 species